rnacentral:rRNA from 1 species
UGACAAGCUACUAAGUGCGAUCGGUGGAUGCCUUGGCACCAAGAGCCGAUGAAGGACGUUGUAACCUGCGAUAAGCCUUGGGGAGUUGGUAAACGAGCUGUGAUCCGGGGAUGUCCGAAUGGGGAAACCUUGAAUGUCCGGAGUCAUGUCCGGUGACCCUGCCCUGAAUGUAUAGGGGUGUGGGAGGUAACGCGGGGAAGUGAAACAUCUCAGUACCCGUAGGAAGAGAAAACAAUUGUGAUUCCGUGAGUAGUGGCGAGCGAAAGCGGAUGUGGCCAAACCGUGUGUGUGUUCAAGCCGGCAGGCGUUGCAUGUGCGGGGUUGUGGGGGCCUGUGUGAUCCUGCUGCCGUGGGAUCGGCUUGCAUGUGGUGUGAAGUUGAAUCGUCUGGGAAGGCGGACCGUAGUGGGUGAGAGUCCCGUAGACGUGAGUGUCAUGUGUGGUUUCAGGUUGCCCCAAGUAGCGCGGUACUCGUGGAAUGUCGCGUGAAUCUGGCGGGACCACCCGUUAAGCCUAAAUACUUCUUGGUGACCGAUAGUGUAUCAGUACCGUGAGGGAAUGGUGAAAAGUACCCCGGGAGGGGAGUGAAAUAGUACCUGAAACCGGUCGCAUACAAGCCGUCGGAGCCUUUUUGGGGUGACGGCGUGCCUAUUGAAAAAUGAGCCUGCGAGUUAGUGGUAUGUGGCGAGGUUAACCUGUGUGGGGUAGUCGUAGCGAAAGCGAGUCCGAUAAGGGCGUCAGUCGCAUGCUCUAGACCCGAAGCGGUGUGAUCUAUCCAUGGCCAGGAUGAAGCGUCGGUAAGACGUCGUGGAGGUCCGAACCCACUUCAGUUGAAAAUGGAGGGGAUG